AACAAUUUGAUGAGAAGACUAUGAAGAAUGCAGCCCGGGUCACCAUCGAGUAGUACUACAUGUGCCCAGGUUUAAAAGAGUCAAAGGAGGGAAAAAAAGGAUAUUACCUUGAUACAUCAAACAAUGAAGACAGAUAUGCAGCAUUCAAACCAAACUUUAAACAAUGAAUGAACACCGAA
rnacentral:lncRNA from 14 species